UACGGGAGCAGCAGUGGGGAAUAUUGGACAAUGGGCGGAAGCCUGAUCCAGCCAUGCCGCGUGUGUGAAGAAGGCCUUUUGGUUGUAAAGCACUUUAAGCGAGGAGGAGGCUACUAGUACUAAUACUACUGGAUAGUGGACGUUACUCGCAGAAUAAGCACCGGCUAACUCUGUGCCAGCAGCCGCGGUAAUACAGAGGGUGCGAGCGUUAAUCGGAUUUACUGGGCGUAAAGCGUGCGUAGGCGGCUGAUUAAGUCGGAUGUGAAAUCCCUGAGCUUAACUUAGGAAUUGCAUUCGAUACUGGUCAGCUAGAGUAUGGGAGAGGAUGGUAGAAUUCCAGGUGUAGCGGUGAAAUGCGUAGAGAUCUGGAGGAAUACCGAUGGCGAAGGCAGCCAUCUGGCCUAAUACUGACGCUGAGGUACGAAAGCAUGGGGAAGCAAACAAGGAAUUAAGGAAUAACC
rnacentral:rRNA from 1 species